GUCGGGAAUUUUGGGCAAUGGGCGAAAGCCUGACCCAGCAACGCCGCGUGAAGGAUGAAGUAUUUCGGUAUGUAAACUUCGUAAGAAUAGGAAGAAUAAAUGACGGUACUAUUUGUAAGGUCCGGCUAACUACGUGCCAGCAGCCGCGGUAAUACGUAGGGACCAAGCGUUGUUCGGAUUUACUGGGCGUAAAGGGCGCGUAGGCGGCGUGGUAAGUCAGCUGUGAAAUCUCCGAGCUUAACUCGGAACGGUCAGCUGAUACUGCUGUGCUAGAGUACAGAAAGGGCAAUCGGAAUUCUUGGUGUAGCGGUGAAAUGCGUAGAUAUCAAGAGGAACACCUGAGGCGAAGGCGGGUUGCUAGGCUGAUACUGACGCUGAGGCGCGAAAGCUAGGGUAGCAAACGGGAUUAGAUACCCGUGUAGUCC
rnacentral:rRNA from 1 species